AUUGAACGCUGGCGGCAUGCCUUACACAUGCAAGUCGAACGGCAGCACGGGUGCUUGCAUCUGGUGGCGAGUGGCGAACGGGUGAGUAAUACAUCGGAACGUACCUUAUCGUGGGGGAUAACGCAGCGAAGGCUGUGCUAAUACCGCAUACGCCCUGAGGGGGAAAGCGGGGGAUCGAAAGACCUCGCGCGAUUAGAGCGGCCGAUGCCCGAUUAGCUUGUUGGUGGGGUAAAAGCCCACCAAGGCGACGAUCAGUAGCUGGUCUGAGAGGACGAUCAGCCACACUGGGACUGAGACACGGCCCAGACUCCUACGGGAGGCAGCAGUGGGGAAUUUUGGACAAUGGGGGCAACCCUGAUCCAGCAAUGCCGCGCGAGUGAAGAAGGCCUUCGGGUUGUAAAGCUCUUUUGUCAGGGAAGAAACACCGGCUCUAACACAGUCCGGGAAUGACGGUACCUGAAGAAUAAGCACCGGCUAACUACGUGCCAGCAGCCGCAGUAA
rnacentral:rRNA from 1 species